CUUACCUUGGGAGCCCAGAGUUGAUGUUAAUGUGAUGUCUGUUUUAGGAGUUUGUGGAGGAGCAACAUAAUGUUGCAGAUGUGCCCCAGCUGUGGAGUUACUUUGGAAACCAAGGGACAACCAACUUCUCUCUGAGGCUGGCCUGUAUCCGUCAUGCUAUGGAGGCUCUGACAUCCUCAGACAGUACCUCCCUUAAUUACCUCACCCACGCUGGGAGGAUGGUGUUGAGUGGACUGUCCAAGCUCAACCAGCAGAUCAACCACAUCAACUUCACGGAUGUAUUUUAUGAAUUCGUUCUACUAAGCCUUCUAGAAGGAAAAACAUCUCUUCCAACAUCUAGGCCUGGUACCUUCUUUUAUCUGCUCAUGGAAGUGAUCAUGAGGAUUCGCCCUCCUGGAGGAGCCUGGACAGAGUCUGCUGGGAACUUCUACCUCCUCAUUAAGGUGCAUUUCUCUCUCUCUCUCUCUCUCUAUCCUGAACUGUGUGUGAUAUUUUGUUCAUCCUUAUCUUUGUAGUUGGUCAUUAAAUAAUAGUUGAUGAUGUGUCUGUUGUCGUCAGGAUCAGAUGAAGGCGUGGUUGGACUCCAUCUUCAACCUUGAUGAGUCCAUCUAUGAAAGCCCACAGAGGCUCUCGUGGCAGGUGAUGGUGAAUCUAGAAAUGCAGGUUGACUUCCUCCUGUCCAGCCUGGAUUAAGGGUCCCAAACUGAGCUGAG
rnacentral:lncRNA from 1 species